AAUUCGCGCAGGUCAUCCCCUAUAUCGGCCUGCGCGGAGCCGGGGAACCACUUUUUCGGGAUCCACGGGACAUCGAGGAACCUCGCUCCACCCCCGGAGCCGUUCCCCGCUGCCUCACGCGAUUCCUUGGGGCGAAUCGGCGCAUCCCUCGCGCCGUAGGGCGGCCUCCACGCCCGAGUCCGACAGCUCACCCGGCCGGCCUUAUGGAAGGAACCA
rnacentral:sRNA from 1 species